rnacentral:rRNA from 1 species
GAUGAACGCUGGCGGCGUGCCUAAUACAUGCAAGUCGAGCGAACGGACGAGAAGCUUGCUUCUCUGAUGUUAGCGGCGGACGGGUGAGUAACACGUGGAUAACCUACCUAUAAGACUGGGAUAACUUCGGGAAACCGGAGCUAAUACCGGAUAAUAUUUUGAACCGCAUGGUUCAAAAGUGAAAGACGGUCUUGCUGUCACUUAUAGAUGGAUCCGCGCUGCAUUAGCUAGUUGGUAAGGUAACGGCUUACCAAGGCAACGAUGCAUAGCCGACCUGAGAGGGUGAUCGGCCCCACUGGAACUGGGCCACGGUCCAGACUCCUACGGGAGGCAGCAGUAGGGAAUCUUCCGCAAUGGGCGAAAGCCUGACGGAGCAACGCCGCGUGAGUGAUGAAGGUCUUCGGAUCGUAAAACUCUGUUAUUAGGGAAGAACAUAUGUGUAAGUAACUGUGCACAUCUUGACGGUACCUAAUCAGAAAGCCACGGCUAACUACGUG